UACGGGGGAUGCAAGCGUUAUCCGGAUUUAUUGGGCGUAAAGGGAACGCAGGCGGUCUUUUAAGUCUGAUGUGAAAGCCUUCGGCUUAACCGGAGUAGUGCAUUGGAAACUGGGAGACUUGAGUGCAGAAGAGGAGAGUGGAACUCCAUGUGUAGCGGUGAAAUGCGUAGAUAUAUGGAAGAACACCAGUGGCGAAAGCGGCUCUCUGGUCUGUAACUGACGCUGAGGUUCGAAAGCGUGGGUAUCGAACAGG
rnacentral:rRNA from 1 species